GACGAACGCUGGCGGCGUGCCUAAUACAUGCAAGUCGAACGCUGAAGGAGGAGCUUGCUUCUCUGGAUGAGUUGCGAACGGGUGAGUAACGCGUAGGUAACCUGCCUGGUAGCGGGGGAUAACUAUUGGAAACGAUAGCUAAUACCGCAUAAUAGUAGAUGUUGCAUGACAUUUGCUUAAAAGGUGCAAUUGCAUCACUACCAGAUGGACCUGCGUUGUAUUAGCUAGUUGGUGAGGUAACGGCUCACCAAGGCAACGAUACAUAGCCGACCUGAGAGGGGGAUCGGCCACACUGGGACUGAGACACGGCCCAGACUCCUACGGGAGGCAGCAGUAGGGAAUCUUCGGCAAUGGACGGAAGUCUGACCGAGCAACGCCGCGUGAGUGAAGAAGGGUUUCGGAUCGUAAAGCUCUGUUGUAAGAGAAGAACGAGUGUGAGAGUGGAAAGUUCACACUGUGACGGUAUCUUACCAGAAAGGGACGGCUAACUACGUG
rnacentral:rRNA from 1 species